rnacentral:SRP_RNA from 1 species
UGUCAGGCACUGUGCAAUGGGCUGUCGCCCAACCCCGUCAGGCCCGGAAGGGAGCAGCGGUAAGUGACGUGUCCGUGUGCCGCAGAUCGCUUGGCUCCU